GGCUGAGGCUGAGGUAUAGGUUGAGGCCGUGAUUGAGGAAGGGGAGGCUGAGGUUGUGGCUGUGGCUGUGAAGGGGGAGGCUGCUGUUGCUGUGGUGGUGCUUGUGUCCAAGAAAAAGGGGGUUGUGGUGCUGCUGCAGGCGGAGGGGGACUUGGUGAUUGCAUACGUGGCUGUGGCUGUGGCUGUGGCUGAGGAGGUUGUGAUGGUUGUCGGAUUUGCUGAUGCUGAUGAGGUGAUGUAACUUGAAAAGGUUGUACCUGUGGCUGAGGAGGCUGAGGCUGUUGUGGUUGUCUAGUUUGGUGAUGUGGUGGAGAAGUAAUUUGAAAAGGUUGUACCUGCGGUUGAGGAGGUUGUUGUGGUUGUCGAGUUUGCUGGUGUGGCGGAGAUGUGACUUGAAAAGGUUGUACCUGUGGUGGAGGAGGUUGUGAUGGCUGUCGAGUUUGCUGCCGGGGUGGAGAUGCAACUUGAAAAGGUUGUACCUGUGACGGAGGAGGUUGUGAUGGUUGUCGAGUUUGCUGCCGGGGCGGAGAUGCAACUUGAAAAGGUUGUACCUGUGGCGGAGGAGGUUGUGAUGGUUGUCGAGUUUGCUGCCGGGGUGGAGAUGCAACUUGAAAAGGUUGUGCUUGAGAUUGAAACAGUUGUUCCUGCUCCCGGUGGUGAAACAGUUGCUCCUGCUCACGCUUAGGAGGUUGUAGUUGCUGUCUACUUUGCUGAUGUGGUGGAGAUGUAACUUGAAAAGGCUGUACCUGUGGCGGAGGAGGUUGUGGUUGUUGUCUAGCUUGCUGAUGCGGUGGAGAUGAAACUUGAAAAGGUUGUGCUUGAGGCUGAAACAGAUGUUCCUGUUCACGAUGCUGAAAUAGUUGCUCUUGCCUUACCGGACUCGGUUGUGACAGAAAAUUAUGCUGCUGCAAUUGCUGCUGUUGAUGACUCUGUUGAACCCUAGUUUGAAAUGUCUGUUGUGGCUCAGGCAAAUCCUGCUCAUGACUCGACCCCAUGUGAUUAAUCGAAAAAAAAUUAUGCUGCUGAUGACUCUGCUGCUGUUGCUGGUGGUGAUGUUGUUGCUGGUGGUGGUGCUGUUGUUCGAGGUUAAACCCUAUAGUGUUCAUCUGUUGUUGCGGCGGAAAAUCAAGCUCCGAAUCAUACAUAGAUUUCCGCAUAGGGUUCGAUAACACAGCCCAAGCAUCAUUCACAAGCUGAAACGCUUGAUCGGAGUAAGGAAACCUGUUUUGGUGAGGAUUUAGUGUAACGGCAAGCCGCCGGAACUGCGAGGCGAUGUGGUCUGUAUCCUGAACGAACCUGACGAGCUGCAGAAUCGCGUAGUAAUCCGGCUGCUGAGCGCCGUUGUUUCCGACGACUCGUUUUUCGGCGGCGAGAAGCGUGUCGGCAAUUGCUAGGAUCUGUUCAGCAGCUUCGAGUCUGGGAUCGGAAUCUCGUGCUCGGAUCGCAAAUGUCUUGGAGCCGACGAGGUCAUGGCCCAUGAGCAGCUUCUCGGCGAUGCCGAGCCAUCGUUGCGCUUCCGCCCGUGCUAUGAAGCUAUGGGGGUCCAUAACCGUUUCUCUUUCUCUCUACAAAUCAAACCACAAUCGGAAAGUAGCCAUGGCGGCCGUGGAGAGUGGUCGGGAGUGGUGGAGGGUUAAAAAAGGGUUGCAGAUUUUUCUUUUUGACGGAAAAGGACUCGGCUUUUAUAAGGGAAGUGCAGCAACAAGGAGUGGAUAUGCAAGGGUAUUAAUGUCUUUUAAGGAUCUAAAGAUGUAAUCUAGUGUUUCAACUCUGAUUAGUUCACACUCGUGGUCGUUUAAGUUGAAUUAUUUCGAUCUGAUAUGCAAGAUUAUGUUAUUGCCAGAAUAAUAAUGACUAUUUUCAGAGCUAAUAUGCUUUACAGUGUUUUGUACAAUAUCGAUUGAAUUUGUACCUAUUAAUUUAUACAAAUUAUUUGUAAAGUUUUCUAUUUCCAUCGUGUUGUUAAAUUAAUUCAUUGUUACAUUUUGGAUAAAUAUCAUCAAUGCCAGAUAAUUUGUUUUCUUCUCCUCCUCGGUGCUCUUUCACCAUGGCGACAAAUCAACAUAUUUUUGGGCUUGCUACUAGGGAUGCUAACGGGGCGAGUUUUGGUAAUCCCGUCCCCAUCCCUGAAUAUGAAAAUCUUUCUCAUCACCGACCCGAUUUCCAACUGGUACCCG
rnacentral:lncRNA from 1 species